rnacentral:tRNA from 2 species
UGUUCAAUAGCUCAACUGGCAGAGCUCCCGGCCGUUAACCGGGUGGUUGUAGGUUCGAAUCCUGCUUGGACAG